rnacentral:rRNA from 1 species
UACGUAGGUGGCAAGCGUUGUCCGGAUUUACUGGGCGUAAAGCGCGCGCAGGCGGCCCGCCAAGUCUGGGGUGAAAGCUCCCGGCUCAACCGGGAGAGGUCUUCAGAUACUGGCAGGCUCGAGGGGAGCAGAGGAGAGUGGAAUUCCCGGUGUAGCGGUGAUAUGCGUAGAUAUCGGGAGGAACACCAGUGGCGAAGGCGGCUCUCUAGGCUCUCCCUGACGCUGAGGCGCGAAAGCGUGGGGAGCAAACCGGAUUAGAAACCCUUGUAGU